CCCUUAGAUGUUCUGGGCCGCACGCGCGCUACACUGACGAAUGCAACGAGCUUAUAACCUUGGCCGAAAGGUCUGGGUAAUCUCCAAAUUUCGUCGUGAUGGGGAUAGAUUAUUGCAAUUAUUAAUCUUCAACGAGGAAUGCCUAGUAAGCGCAAGUCAUCAGCUUGCGUUGAUUACGUUCCUGCCCUUUGUACACACCGCCCGUCGCUCCUACCGAUUGAAUGGUCCGGUGAAGCGUUCGGACCGUGGCCUUUGGACGGUUCGCCGUCUGUUGGCUGCGGGAAGUUCGUUAAACCUUAUCAUUUAGAGGAAGGAGAAGUCGUAACA
rnacentral:rRNA from 1 species